UGAAUCAUAACGUAAAUAAUCUGUGCUUUCC
rnacentral:piRNA from 1 species